GGUUAUAUAUUUUAAAAUAUAAAAAAUUAAAUUGCAAAUUUAAAAAUACAUAUAAUUGUUAUAACUU
rnacentral:tRNA from 1 species